rnacentral:rRNA from 1 species
UGGGGAAUUUUGCGCAAUGGGGGAAACCCUGACGCAGCAACGCCGCGUGAGUGAUGAAGGCCUUCGGGUCGUAAAGCUCUGUCAGAGGGGAAGAAGUGUGAGGUGGCUAAUAUCCAUUUCACUUGACGGUACCUUCAAAGGAAGCACCGGCUAACUCCGUGCCAGCAGCCGCGGUAAUACGGAGGGUGCGAGCGUUGUUCGGAAUUAUUGGGCGUAAAGCGCGUGUAGGCGGUUUUUUAAGUCUGAUGUGAAAGCCCUGGGCUCAACCCGGGAAGUGCAUUGGAAACUGGGAGACUUGGAAUACGGGAGAGGGCAGUGGAAUUCCUGGUGUAGGAGUGAAAUCCGUAGAUAUCAGGAGGAACACCGGUGCGAAGGCGGCUGCCUGGACCGAUAUUGACGCUG